rnacentral:tRNA from 1 species
GGAUGGGUACCCAAGUGGCCAAAGGGAACAGACUGUAAAUCUGUCGGCUUUCAGCCUUCGAAGGUUCGAAUCCUUCCCCAUCCACCA